CUCUGCGAUAGAACGGAGGAGGGACGCUUAGUGCGUGCCAGUUCUAGAUGGCUGGUCUGUCAACCCACCUCCGUUCUGUCAUCAUG
rnacentral:antisense_RNA from 1 species